rnacentral:rRNA from 1 species
AACGAACGCUGGCGGCAUGCCUAACACAUGCAAGUCGAACGAGACCUUCGGGUCUAGUGGCGCACGGGUGCGUAACGCGUGGGAACCUGCCCUUAGGUUCGGAAUAACUCCCCGAAAGGGGUGCUAAUACCGGAUAAUGUCUUCGGACCAAAGAUUUAUCGCCUUUGGAUGGGCCCGCGUUGGAUUAGCUAGUUAGUAGGGUAAAAGCCUACCAAGGCGACGAUCCAUAGCUGGUCUGAGAGGAUGAUCAGCCACACUGGGACUGAGACACGGCCCAGACUCCUACGGGAGGCAGCAGUGGGGAAUAUUGGACAAUGGGCGAAAGCCUGAUCCAGCAAUGCCGCGUGAGUGAUGAAGGCCUUAGGGUUGUAAAGCUCUUUUACCCGGGAUGAUAAUGACAGUACCGGGAGAAUAAGCUCCGGCUAACUCCGU